GUGCCUGCUUCAGCUGCACAUGUAUCAAACCUGGAACAAUGCAGAGACGAUGAGCAUGGCCCCUGCUCAAGCACGACAGGCAAAUUUGUCAAGUGUUCCGUAUUUUU
rnacentral:snRNA from 1 species